rnacentral:rRNA from 1 species
AUUUACAUCUACACAACUCUGGGCCUGGCUGGUACUUAGAAAGGAGACCACACUGUAAUCCUAGGUGCUGUAGAUA